AGUUUUAUCUGUCAGAUCAGAUCUACAAUCAUUUCUCUCUGCUUUCUACUUUUGGAUGAUUGAAUGAUUGGGUAAAAUCAAGGUCACUAUCAGCAGACUUCCUGUAGACUGCCUGAACAGCUGUUUGUCUCCUUUAAAGGUUUCAGUGUACUGCCUGGUUGUAGAGAAGGAGAGAGACACAACCACCACCAAAACUCUGAACGAGUCAAGCAACUCAGGAACCAAUAAGUGCAGAGAGUCAUGGAGAUUGAAGCCAGGCAAACACCCCACAUAUUCAUCUUUGUGGAUGAGGCUGGUUUCAACUUGGCCCAAACACGGCAGCGAGGAAGGAAUGUGAUUGGGAAAAGAGUCACAGUGGAUGUCCUGGGCCAGAGGGGUGCCAACAUCACAAUGUGUGCUGCAAUAUCCUCUGAUGGAUUGCUGUUACACAAUCCACUAAUUGGGCUGUACAACACCGAGCGUCUCAUUUCAUUCCUGGACGACCUCUAUGGAAGGGUUGUGCCAGGUGAGGAAAGGGUUGCAGUGAGGUGAAAUCGGCCAACAUUUGUAAUUGUAUGGGACAAUGUGACAUUUCACCACUCCCGUGCUGUCACAGAGUGGUUUGUAGUCCAUCCCAGGAUGAUGUCACUUUUCCUCCCUCCUUACUCUCCAUUCCUCAACCCCAUCGAGGAAUUAUUUUCCUCAUGGAGGUAGAAGGUUUAUGACCAC
rnacentral:lncRNA from 1 species